rnacentral:rRNA from 1 species
UGGGGAAUAUUGGACAAUGGGCGAAAGCCUGAUCCAGCCAUGCCGCGUGUGUGAAGAAGGCCUUAUGGUUGUAAAGCACUUUAAGCGAGGAGGAGGGUACUGGUAUUAAUACUACCAGCUACUGGACGUUACUCGCAGACUAAGCACCGGCUAACUCUGUGCCAGCAGCCGCGGUAAUACAGAGGGUGCGAGCGUUAAUCGGAUUUACUGGGCGUAAAGCGUGCGUAGGCGGCUAAUUGAGUCGGAUGUGAAAUCCCCGAGCUUAACUUGGGAAUUGCAUUCGAUACUGGUUAGCUAGAGUGUGGGAGAGGAUGGUAGAAUUCCAGGUGUAGCGGUGAAAUGCGUAGAGAUCUGGAGGAAUACCGAUGGCGAAGGCAGCCAUCUGGCCUAACACUGACGCUGAGGUACGAAAGCAUGGGGAGCAAACAGG